rnacentral:rRNA from 1 species
UACAGAGGUCCCAAGCGUUGUUCGGAUUCACUGGGCGUAAAGGGUGCGUAGGUGGCCGGGUAAGUCUGACGUGAAAUCUCCGAGCCUAACUCGGAAACUGCAUCGGAUACUAUCCGGCUUGAGGGUUGGAGGGGGGACUGGAAUACUUGGUGUAGCAGUGAAAUGCGUAGAUAUCAAGUGGAACACCAGUGGCGAAGGCGAGUCCCUGGACAACUCCUGACACUGAGGCACGAAAGCGUGGGGAGCAAAUAGG